rnacentral:lncRNA from 1 species
CCUGCAGUGUAGGUCAAACUGACAUUGUUCUUCAACGUUGACUUCUGAAAGUUAGAUCAAGGAUUGCCGACCCAAAUCAACACGAACUUCAGGGGUAAUUCGAGCAAUUUUCAUGGAGAGAGGAUUGACUGUGGACAGCAUGUUGGACACUCGGAUGUUUCGAACUUCAUCAGGACGCAUGACAUCCAAGGGGAGGAUAGACGGAUACUUCAGGGCUGCUACGAUCUUUUUGAAUCGAAGCCAGAUUUCGUUUGGCAAAAUUGCUCCAUCGAAGUCAUGUGCUCGUCAGUUGAUGUAAAGUUCGUGUCUGGAGAUGAAAGCAAUCGAUACAUCUUACGUUUUAAAGAAGGUGGCAUUUGGACGGCGGAUCUGAGAGAAGAAAUACGCACAAAAAUCUUCAAUGUGUAUGAGUGGUUACGUAGACUCGUGCAGGCAGUUGGAGAAGCAGUUGCUAGAGCUAUCCAGCAAAAUCCUCAAAUUCUACUCCCUUGACAUAUGAAAAUUAUGAAGUGUUUUAUAGUGGUUCAGAUACACACAUUAAAGAAAGAGACCAGAAUAUAUCUUGCUUUGUCACAAACGGGAUCCCUGCUGCUGUUAUCCUCAGCUAAGAAGUGUUUAUUAUCUACAUGGGUACUUUCGGUCAUAUUGGUUAACGUAAUCCUGUUCUGAGGUGUAUAGCUAUACAGAACACUUUGGUUUUCAAAAAGUUAUCACAUACAUUGUAAUACAUGUAGCUAUGUUUUAAUAAACUUGAUUAUCUAUCUUUAAAAAA